GAUGAAGAACGCAGCGAAAUGCGAUACUUGGUGUGAAUUGCAGAAUCCCGUGAACCAUCGAGUCUUUGAACGCAAGUUGCGCCCGAAGCCACUAGGCCGAGGGCACGCCUGCCUGGGCGUCACACGCCGUUGCCCCCCCAUCUACUCCUUCGGGAUUGCGGGGGGGGCGGAUGAUGGCCUCCCGUGCGCCUAGCCGCGCGGUUGGCAUAAAUACCAAGUCCUCGGCGACGCACGCCACGACAAUCGGUGGUUGCGAAACCUCGGUUGCCCGUCGUGUGCGUUCGUCGCGCAUCGAGGGCUCGAAAAAAUGCUCGGCUCCGGCUGGGCUUUCAACGCGACCCCAGGUCAGGCGGGGUUACCCGCUGAAUUUAAGCAUAUCAAUAAGCGGAGGA
rnacentral:misc_RNA from 1 species